rnacentral:rRNA from 1 species
AUACGUAGGUGACAAGCGUUAUCCGGAUUUACUGGGCGUAAAGGGCGUGUAGGCGGUCUUGCAAGUCAGAAGUGAAAUUCCUGAGCUCAACUCGGGCGCUGCUUCUGAAACUGCAGGACUUGAGUGCUGGAGGGGAUAGCGGAAUUCCUAGUGGAGCGGUAAAAUGCGCAGAUAUUAGGAAGAACACCGGUGGCGAAGGCGGCUAUCUGGACAGUAACUGACGCUGGGGCGCGAAAGCGCGUGGAGCAAAAAGGAUUAGAUCCCCUGGUAGUCCACGCCGUAAACGAUGAAUACUAGGUGUAGGGGGUAUCGACUCCCUCUGUGCCGCAGUUAACACAAUAAGUAUUCCGCCUGGGGAGUACGGCCGCAAGGUUGAAACUUAAAGGAAUUGACGGGG